rnacentral:rRNA from 1 species
UCUUGGUCUCAUUUAGAGGAAGUAAAAGUCGUAACAAGGUCUCCGUUGGUGAACCAGCGGA